GGAGGCGUACCCAAGAGGCCGAAGGGGGCUGACUCGAAAUCAGCUAGGGCGGUUAUUCCGUCGCGGGGGUUCAAAUCCUCUCGCCUCCA
rnacentral:tRNA from 1 species